rnacentral:rRNA from 1 species
UCGAGAAUCUUCCGCAAUGGACGAAAGUCUGACGGAGCGACGCCGCGUGGUGGAUGAAGUCCCUAGGGACGUAAACACCUUUUAUGAGGGAGGAAGUUUAUUGACGGUACCUCAUGAAUAAGGGGCUCCCAAUUCUGUGCCAGCAGGAGCGGUAAUACAGAAGCCCCGAGCAUUACCCGGAUUCACUGGGCGUAAAGGGUGCGUAGGCGGCUAUAUUAGUCGGGUGUUAAAUCCUUGGGCUCAACCCAAGGCUCGCAUUCGAAACGGUAUAGCUAGAAGGAGUGAGAGGUGUGUGGAACUCACGGUGUAGGAGUGAAAUCCGUUGAUAUCGUGGGGAACACCAAAUGCGAAGGCAGCACACUGGCACUUUCUUGACGCUGAGGCACGAAAGCGUGGGUAG